AUGUCUGAUUUGUCCACCCUCACUUUCCUGUGGAUGCUUAUUACCCAUGAAAACAUCAGCCAAAGGCUAAGUUCAACAGGACUAGAAAUGAGAAAUAGAUGGAUUUGUAAGUCCCCGGGCGAGGUCCUGCCUCCCCAAGGCCACUACUUUGUGGAGGAGACUCUGGGUGAAGCUAUCAUCAUUACGUUUGACCAGGAGGCAAAACCUUCUACUGGGGACUUGAGGGAUAAGGAAAGAGCAUACAUUAAACUCAGAGUCACUGGACAUGGUGCAGUGAGAUUCACUUUCAAGUGAGGAUGGUGGACGACACAUCUCCGGCAACUCAGAGAAUCAUAUUGUCAAAGACUGGAUGUUCCAGUGAAUUCACUCAGGUUUCUCUUCGAAGGUCAGAGGAUUGCUGAUAAUCACAGUCCUAGGGAGCUGGGAAUGGAGGAAGAUGUGAUUGAAGUUUAUCAGGAACAAACAGGGGGUCAUUCAACAGUUUAGAUAUUAUUUUUAUCUUUUCUUCUUUCCCCCUUAAUCCUCUUUUAGUUUUAAAAAUAGUUCUUUUGUCAUGUGGCAUUCAAGAUGGAAUUGAAGACUGGCACCUCACCUCCUUAAGACAUCUGGUGAUGUGAAUUCUGGUGUCCAUUAGUCAUUAUCAUUUGUUUCCCUGGUGCUGAGUUUUGGUGAUGAAACCUCAGUGCCCUUCCUGUUGCCCUCUCCUUUUUACGAAUUACGCGUGUACACUGAGGGGCCACGUUUUCCAGGACUGUGGGUCUUCAGGCUUAUGGUAAAUAAGACUCACCGAUGCAGUGUUCAUAAUGGCUUUCCGAUUGGCCCUGAAGUUCUGGCAACUUCAGGAAGUUACUUCCCUCCCGGACUUGUGGCUCUCAGUGGGAAAUGGAAGUUUCUCAGAGAACCGAGCUGUGGAAAAAUGGCCUUUCCUUCACUUAAAGCUGCUUUGAAAAUCUGAGGGUUUGGCCCCAAAGAAGAGGAAUAUCGGGCUGGAGUCAAGGUGGCAUAGAGACAGUGAGAAUAGGGACUAACUCCAAAGAUGG